AAUCUGACAAAUCACUUUCUAAUGUGCCCAGCUCAAACUUAGCAAGGGAAGUGAUAGUGGAGUUUUUGGACCCAGUAGAAGAGCUCGCCAGAGCGCCACCAUGUCUCCUUAUUCACGACCUUCCAGGGGACGUUUUGAAAAUUCUGCUAACAUGAAGAGCUAUGAAGCAGGGGAAUCAAGUAUAUCUAUGCCGCAGACAACAACCUAUGGGAAGCAUAUAGGAUUAGAAGUUUGUUUUUUUUUCUAUAAAACGGUAAUGUUACAUUAUGGAGAUAAGCCGUCUUUUUUUUAAGUGAAAAAUAGUAAUCUUACAUAUGUUUAAUGUAGUUUUUCCAUUUUUUAAUGCUGUAUGUUUACAUAUUUUUUACAAUUUUUGAAAAUAAUUAAUAUUAAAAUGUAAAACUAUAUUUUAUGCCACGUGUCAUCUUUCGGGAUAAAUUUUUUCCGCUGAUGUGGACGCCCUUGUAAAACUAUAUUUUAUGCCACGUGUCAUCUUUCGGGAUAAAUUUUUUCCGCUGAUGUGGACGCCCUAUGGAGCCUCAAAAGCUCCCUUUUAUUAGUAGAGAUUACCUUGAUUUUCUGGAUUAUUUCGAAAAGUUUCAACAACAAAGAGAGUAGAAAAAUGUCAACAACGCACAUGACAUGAGUCGCUAUAAUAAAGAUUAAACGCGAGAAAAAAAAAAGAUCACUGAAACAAAAAAAGAGAGAGAGACAUGGCCACUGAAGGAGACGCGACGUUUCCUGCUGCGACUGCGACGAGCGAUGCGGCGAGAGGUACAGGCGGCAAAUUAAGGCGACAAACCGCGAGGAGGCACUCAGCGACGACGCCGUAUUCUCGACCGCCUCAGAACCAGGCACAACGGAGGCCGUGGAUCUCGAGAAUCGUCGAUCCCGCUUAUCGGAUUAUUUCCGGCGGCGCCACGAGAAUACUUCCCUACUUCUUCUCUAAUGCAGCCUCCGCUCCUAGUGCUCUCACAGCUCCACCAGAAGAUGAAGAUCGACACCAAGGUCUUUGGUCUAAUGUUUUUGAGGAGUUAAUUGGAAUUUAACUUAAAUUAAUGAUUGUAUCUAUGUAGUUCAGCGAGUAUCUAGGGUUUUGUUGAACUUGCCUCAUUGCUAGAAAAUUAGACGCCAUAAAAUCACCAGGGAUAGGCUUUACUUUUUUUUGGUGCAUGAUUGUAAUGGUCAAUUAAGAUGCUCUGUGUGUGAACCGGGCUUUGUAGUCUGGUGGUAAAGGAACCUUGGCUGAGAUGUCCGCCAUCACGAGUUCGAGCCCCGGCCACAGCGGAUAUAACAUGGUUUCUGUUUGGCCUCCAGGACCUUCCUCGCCAGUUCCGGUUGGACGCAGUGGAAUAGUCGGACUAAGUGAGAGGUCCAGGAUACCUGGAUUAUCAAAAAAAAAAAGAAAAAAAAAUGCUCUGUGUGCUUUAGUGUUAGUAAGUAGCUUUUAGUGUGAAGUGAGUGAUGGAUGUAUUGACUCCUUGCUUGAAUAGUGUCUUUGAGCAACAAGUGUAUCAUCUUUUGGGGAUGUAUAUACAGUUUUACUCCAGAGAAAUAACUUGUCUGAUAUAGUAUUUCGUUUUUUACUUCAUUUUCUACUAGAUGAGUUGCAAGAUGAUCCACAGGAGAAUGAUCCCAGCAGUGUAACACCAAGUUUAAGUGUAAGCGUCUUUCAACUCCUCUGUUAAUAUCUGAUUGGGGAAUAUACCGCUCUAGCUAAGCUGGUUUUUUUUUGUCUUUGCUAUAGUGUGUUUUUUGGUAUGUCAUGUACGAUUUCAUCAACUAAUGGAAGUAAAUAUCAUUCUUGCUCAUGUUUUUUUUUCUUGUAAUCUUUGACUUUUUGCGCUUGUGUGUGUCUGUCUGCAUUUGUUAAUUGAUGGGAUCUCUAAAAAAUUUCUAUGUUAAGAAACUGUUACUCUUACCGUGGCUGUUUUAUAUUGGAACCGGUAAAUGGAAUAAACAAUGGUUUAUAAAUGCAUAGAAGUGAUUUUUGUAUAAUCUAAGAGAGAUGUGAUCUUACUGCUCCGUGCUCUUUAGUUGGAUUCAUUCGACAUGAAUGACACGAUUUAUUUCUCCUGCUAAUGCAUGACCGUACUCUCUUCAUUUAAUUCCUGCUUUUGUGGUUUGCAAUAGAUACAUCAUUUUUUUUUCUCUUUUCAGAAACCGAAGCUAGCAACAAUUGAAGAGGGAGGUACUAGUGGUACAGCAAACGUCAACGAAAGCAAUUUCAGUAUCAGUGCACAGGCUAAAGGCAACAUAGCUUUGAAUGAUGUCGUUGCGAUCUCGGAGCUUGAAAGGCUGAUGGAAGGAAAAACGUUUUCACGGUAUGUUUAUUAUCAUGUCUCUACAUUAGUUGCAUUUCAAAUGAUGCUCGAUGGAAAUUCGCUUCCUUUUGCUUGUUAGUUUGUUAACGCUUAUAUUCAUGACUGGGUCAUUAGAUUCUUAUUGAGCGACUGCUUAUCUUUCCUGGCCUUUCUGUUAUCUUUUUUUGCAUUUUUGUUUGUAUUUUGUUUAUAUAGACGAAUUUUACACUGACCAUCUUUUCAUUUAUUUCCAGGGCGGAAACUGAUCGUCUUAUAGAGAUAUUAAAUUCAAGGGCUACUGAUCUAUCUGGUGUCGUGAGAGACGAGCGAGUGGAGAUCCCUCUGAGAGAGGGAGUCAAGAAAAAUAUGAGUUUUCUUGAUAAGAGAAAAGAACCAAUUGGUGCCAAGGAUGCUAGCAGUGAGCUUUGGGCUACGCCAACACCACUUGCCAAGUCAAUAGUAAGUUGCUUGCUAUCCAGCGUUUUUGUUUGUUUGGAUGUUUAUAUGAAAUAGUAAUUUGUAUUAAACAUGUUUAUAUAUAAAGUUUAGAGUGAAGUUUGGCAUACUCUGGGAGUAAUUUGGAAUGUAUCCGCAUGGAUUUGGUCUAGAGGUCUGUGUGAGAUUGGACUGUUUGUGUAAUCAUAUGAAAAGAGCUAUGUAAUUUCACAAAUUUGCUUCAUCAAAGAAUUGAUUUUUUUUUUACUUCACUAGUCCUUAUUUCUGGAACUGUUUUCAUAUACUCACUUUUCUCAUUUUCUUUGUUAUAGACUCUUGACGGAGUCAAACAGGUGCGGGAUGAAGCUGGUCUAUCACCAGCAGAACUUGCUAAGGCAUAUAUGGGAGGCCAGACAUCAUCGAGUAGUCCCAAAGGUUUUGUAGCAAGAAAUGAAAAGAAUAGUCUAGACGGGGGUAUGUUUGUAGCAAAUUAUUCUGGUGCAUCACCAUCGAGCAAGCCUUCCGCAUGUUGGCCUGGUGUCAAGUUAAAUGAGCAACUUGGUUUUGCGACUCCUCAAAACCAACGAGAAAAUUUUGGGAUUCAAAGUUUUCCAAGGACCCCAUAUCCUAGAUCCAUCCUCUCAAGUUCUAAGUCAAAGGUGUGUAUAGUUUUUUGUUAAUACCUAUUUGCUCAAAGUUUUUUGGUAUACUUGAACUGUAUUUUUUUCUUGGCUCAGCUGAUGCAAUUGCAAGACAACAGUAGCAAGCGCCUGAGCACCCUCCAGUCUCCCUCCCAAAGUGCGCAGACAAGAUAUGGCCAGGUAAACUCUCCCAGUCGGCUAUACAAUUCUGAUUACUCUGUACGAUUUAUAAUAUAGUGUGGACUUGCUAUUUAUUUUUUUUACCUUAGAGACGAUCUUACUGAAAAUGUAGUAUUGUUCCCGGAUGUGUUGGAUCCCUGUCAGUGUCCAAGGAUCCUCAAAUACAAAGAUAGGGAAAUGGUCUGAUUUAAACAUUUUAUUAUAGUUCGUACAUACUUAUUCAAACUGUUUAAUAAACCUCUCUCGACUUCGUCCAGAGGUAGGCAGACAAUGAAAACUGGAAGUUCUCACUUCAAAAGGUCCCAAUGCUCUCCAUGAAAUUAGCUCUUGAAUCUUAAUCCUCUUUUACCUGUUGAAAUGGUGUUGGGAAUCUAGGUAAGAUGGGAUCGAAUGAAAAGGGGCCGUAACAGUCCGCUGAUUGUUUCAAAGUAUGUACUUUUAUUGUUGCCAUUAGAUUAACGAAAUCGUCUUCCACUAGCAUAAGCAAUGGUUGACUUGUGAUCUAAUUUAUACUUAAGGUAGGUGAAAUGUUAGGGUGGUUGAAGGGAUUUAGGCAACAGAAGAAUAGAAGUAUGCGGUUGUGCAAAUGACUAGUUCUAGACAUCUUUGCCUGGACUUUUCUGAGAGUUAUUUUCGUCAAACAUUCAUAGUGCUGAUUUUUCUUGCUGUUGUUGACAUUUUGCAAAAACUUGGUUCUAAAUUAGAGUCAUCAAUAUCCUGCCUUUUUAAUCUUUCUUGUGUUCUUUCUAUCUGCUGAAUCAUAUAACCUCUGUUGAAAUCUGACAAAUCACUUUCUAAUGUGCCCAGCUCAAACUUAGCAAGGGAAGUGAUAGUGGAGUUUUUGGACCCAGUAGAAGAGCUCGCCAGAGCGCCACCAUGUCUCCUUAUUCACGACCUUCCAGGGGACGUUUUGAAAAUUCUGCUAACAUGAAGAGCUAUGAAGCAGGGGAAUCAAGUAUAUCUAUGCCACAGACAACAACCUAUGGGAAGCAUAUAGGAUUAGAAGUUGGUACACCGACUGUGCCUAGACAUUCUAGUCAGAUCGCUAGGACGAUACUGGAUCACCUUGAACGGACGCAACCCACCCCGAAAGAUAAAUCUGCUGAGUUAAAGCUUGCCACUU
rnacentral:lncRNA from 1 species